rnacentral:misc_RNA from 1 species
UUUCCGUAGGUGAACCUGCGGAAGGAUCAUUCAUAAUAAAGUGUUUUAUGGCACUUUUUAAAAAUCCAUAUCCACCUUGUGUGCAAUGUUAGAUCUCGUCAAUCUUGGCGAGAUUUUUAUCCAUCAACUCAUUCUUUAACUAAUUUGUCUGAAAAAUAUUAUGAAUACAUAAUUCAAAAUACAACUUUCAACAACGGAUCUCUUGGCUCUC